rnacentral:rRNA from 1 species
GAUGAACGCUGGCGGCGUGCCUAAUACAUGCAAGUCGAGCGAACAGACGAGGAGCUUGCUCCUCUGACGUUAGCGGCGGACGGGUGAGUAACACGUGGAUAACCUACCUAUAAGACUGGGAUAACUUCGGGAAACCGGAGCUAAUACCGGAUAAUAUAUUGAACCGCAUGGUUCAAUAGUGAAAGACGGUUUUGCUGUCACUUAUAGAUGGAUCCGCGCCGCAUUAGCUAGUUGGUAAGGUAACGGCUUACCAAGGCAACGAUGCGUAGCCGACCUGAGAGGGUGAUCGGCCACACCGGAACUGAGACAAGGUCCAGACUCCUACGGGAGGCAGCAGUAGGGAAUCUUCCGCAAUGGGCGAAAGCUUGACGGAGCAACGCCGCGUGAGUGAUGAAGGUCUUCGGAUCGUAAAACUCUGUUAUUAGGGAAGAACAAAUGUGUAAGUAACUAUGCACGUCUUGACGGUACCUAAUCAGAAAGCCACGGCUAACUACGUG